rnacentral:rRNA from 1 species
CAGCGGGUCCUUCGGGAUGCCGGCGAGCGGCGGACGGGUGAGUAAUGCAUGGGAAUCUGCCCGAUAGUGGGGGAUAACCCGGGGAAACCCGGGCUAAUACCGCAUACGCCCCACGGGGGAAAGCAGGGGACCUUCUGGCCUUGCGCUAUCGGAUGAGCCCAUGUCGGAUUAGCUUGCUGGUGGGGUAACGGCUCACCAGGGCGACGAUCCGUAGCUGGUCUGAGAGGAUGAUCAGCCACACCGGGACUGAGACACGGCCCGGACUCCUACGGGAGGCAGCAGUGGGGAAUAUUGGACAAUGGGGGCAACCCUGAUCCAGCCAUGCCGCGUGUGUGAAGAAGGCCCUCGGGUUGUAAAGCACUUUCAGCGGGGAAGAAGGCGUGACGGCCAAUACCCGUCACGAAGGACAUCACCCGCANNAANAAGCACCGGCUAACUCCGUGCCAGCAGCCGCGGUAAUACGGAGGGUGCAAGCGUUAAUCGGAAUUACUGGGCGUAAAGGGCGCGUAGGCGGCCUGCCAAGCCGGAUGUGAAAGCCCCGGGCUCAACCCGGGAAUGGCAUUCGGAACUGGCAGGCUCGAGUGCAGGAGAGGAAGGUGGAAUUCCCGGUGUAGCGGUGAAAUGCGUAGAGAUCGGGAGGAAUACCAGUGGCGAAGGCGGCCUUCUGGACUGACACUGACGCUGAGGCGCGAAAGCGUGGGUAGCAAACAGGAUUAGAUACCCUGGUAGUCCACGCCGUAAACGAUGUCGACCAGCCGUUGGCCCCCUUGAGGGGCUGGUGGCACAGUUAACGCACUAAGUCGACCGCCUGGGGAGUACGGCCGCAAGGCUAAAACUCAAAUGAAUUGACGGGGGCCCGCACAAGCGGUGGAGCAUGUGGUUUAAUUCGAUGCAACGCGAAGAACCUUACCUGCCCUUGACAUCCUGCGAAUCCGGUAGAGAUGCCGGAGUGCCUUCGGGAACGCAGAGACAGGUGCUGCAUGGCUGUCGUCAGCUCGUGUUGUGAAAUGUUGGGUUAAGUCCCGUAACGAGCGCAACCCCUGUCCCUUUUUGCCAGCGGUCCGGCCGGGAACUUCAGGGAGACUGCCGGUGACAAACCGGAGGAAGGUGGGGACGACGUCAAGUCAUCAUGGCCCUUACGGGCAGGGCUACACACGUGCUACAAUGGCCGGUACAGAGGGUUGCGAAGCCGCGAGGUGAAGCCAAUCCCGCAAAGCCGGCCUCAGUCCGGAUCGGAGUCUGCAACUCGACUCCGUGAAGUCGGAAUCGCUAGUAAUCGCGGAUCAGAAUGCCGCGGUGAAUACGUUCCCGGGCCUUGUACACACCGCCCGUCACACCAUGGGAGUGGACUGCACCAGAAGUGGUUAG